ACGCUCGACACCUACGGGGAGGCAGCAGUGGGGAAUAUUGCACAAUGGGGGAAACCCUGAUGCAGCGACGCCGCGUGAAGGAAGAAGUAUCUCGGUAUGUAAACUUCUAUCAGCAGGGAANAAAUGACGGUACCUGACUAAGAAGCCCCGGCUAACUACGUGCAAGCAGCCGCGGUAAUCUGAGCGGGCUGGCAAGGC
rnacentral:rRNA from 1 species